AUAUGAAACACUUUUUUUCCUGCCUUAAGGUUGGAAUCUGGUAAGUUUCAGACAAGUGGUUGCGGGGGGAGGUGACCCGGGGGACCGCGGGGGACCGGCCCGGUGAACCUGACUCGGCGAGGUGGGCGACCAGAAGAGCCGGGUCUGCGUGCCGCCCCCUGCCCCCAGCCCGGCGCGGAGGAAAGACUGGCGGAGGUGCGGCAGGCUCAGGCCGCGACCCUCGGGUCCUCCUGUGAAAGGAGCGCCCCCUAAUCCCUGCGAGCGGACGCCGAAGGGGGAGCGGGGAUCCCACCAGAGGGAAGGCCCAGAGGUUAAUCAUCUUGAUAACCGGAAAGGGCGCUGCCCGGCCUGGCUGCCAUCACAAAGCGUGUCAGUCACCAGCUCUCAAUCCCGCCACAGAAUUACCUGCUCAAAGAGCCAUCCCGGGGAGCGCUCUGCUCCGCGCUCUUCCCGCCCGCCGCCUGCGGGAAGGACACCGUGUCCUAGUCCGAAAGAAGCGGAUGUCGCUUUGACCCUCCUCCGCCCCCAGACGGUUCCUAAAUCCAGGAGGGCAAUGCCAGCCCUGGAUCGCUCAGAACUGCUACAUCGCAGCUUCGGGCCACCUGCCUAUUACUCAGCCCGUCUACAAAAAGAAAAAUAGAAAAAGCGGGGCGGGAGAGGAAAAAGGAGCGAGAUUACUUGUCUGAUUUAUCUCUGCCUUAGGAACCUGGUCCUGGCCGCUGGCGGAGCCGAGGGCCUCGAGCCUGGGCACUGGGAGGCCAGACCCUGCCCGCCAGAGGUGCACACAGCCUGGGUGCCCCCGGCUCGGUGUCUCACUGGCCAAGAAGCCGAGCUCCUUUGCAGCGGGUGUCAGCAACUUUAGAAACAGCAAACUCUUCAGCGAAGCCCCCUCCCCACGCACUGAGCUCGCGGCUCUGCUACAGACGCGGGUUUAGGCGCCUUUCACAUACACUACUCACGUUUUCCGAGAAAAUGGGGAGAGGAGCACAUUAAAGAAAGGUGGGGGGGGGGUACUGCAACACUUUCAAGAAAAACUAGGGGUGGGGUGGGAAGGGAGUUUAGAAAGGCUGUCUGUAACAGCCCAGCUGCCAAAUCCCUGGCUGUUCUGAAAAGGAAGAAGGAGAGAAGCAGGCGGGAAAGGACUCCCUUCCUCCUCCCAGCCAUCUCCCUCUCAGCGCCCCCAGCCCAGGACACCCGGGCUGGGAACCCGAGAGUGUGCUCCUAGGAAGACAUCAGCCCUUCCGCCUCCAGCUCAGCCCAGGUCGCAGCCCCUGCCCGAGACUUCCUGGGAAGCAACCCGCAACGCCCACAGCGUUGGCCUCCUUUCCCCGACUCCUUGGAGAUUGGUCUGCGGCUUGAGUCCGGCUGCAGACACCCACUCCGGCCCUUAGAUUAGACCUGCCUCGGGCGUGGACGCCAAGGUGCGGUACCGAGGCCCCAAGCUGCGCCGAGGCUGGCGAGUUUCUGCCUGGGUCGGGAGAGGGGGUCCCAACAGCGGAGCCCGCUGCAGUCUGGUGACACCUACUGCGCCUCGCACUGCCUCCACGACGGCCCUUGGCCUGCGGAGAAGGAGGCAAGGGCAAGAUGCUCCGUGGCGGGUCAAACCUUCGCCCCUUUAUCUCCUACCAUGCUUUUCAUGUCCAUAUCUUUGUUAGUUAGGUGUAUGACUGCUAUAUUCCAGCGGCUUAUCCUGCAUAAAAUACCCCACGGCUUGGGCGAGACUUUGCAAAUUUGGCAUCCCAGGUGAGCGGUCUUGAGUAUUCUGUGCCCUAUCCACCCACCUCGCCCGUGGGUACUCAGGGCAGCGCCCACUUGGCAGAAUUGAUGGCCGUUCAGGCCUAGCAGAGUGCGCAUCGCCAAACCUGCGCGUCCAAAAUGCAUCCUCGCCUCGCCGGAACGCUGAGCCGCGCAACUCUAAAGGAGCCCGCAUUCCGGAGCACGUGCAAGCAUCCUCCCGCUUUGAAAUGAAUUCGCUCUGAGUCUUUCAUCCCCAAAGGAAAAGCCUUUGGGGCGCUACUCAGACCCAAGACCUGGGAGAGAGAAGUCCCGAAGGCGGGGACCAGGGGCUUGGGCACUCUUCUGCUCACCUGGACUUGAGACACUCGAAGGCCCGAUUAACCAUCGGUUGUAUCAGGGCCGAUGGGUUCAAAGUGGCUGCGCCUCGCGGAGGCGCUCACUCCCCGGGUCCGGGUCUCCGAGGGCAUCUGGAAUCUGGGUGGGUUGUGCUGACUACCUGCAGCGCGCGCGGAUCCCAGGCCAGGAAAAAGGGCGCCGUGUAACGGGGACGGUCGGUUACCUCUCCAGGGAUCUGCCCUGACUUUGUUCGUAAUUUAAGAAGCCUCUGAACUCGGGGAGCGCGUGUUGGGGCACCUCCCUGCACACACACGCCCCCUCCUUCCCGGGCCUCGUAUCUUUCCCUCCACUCUCCCGUUCCCCCCACCCCCAACCCCGCGGCCCCGCCCGUUAGAGGCGCGCAGCGGGCACUCGGUUUACAGAGCCGCCGGUUCAGAUGUUUAUUCGCAGCUAAUUGCUGGUGCAGGAAAAUGCUCGCUACCCCGGCCGAGCGCUUCCGCCCUGCGCUGGCCGAUCCCGCCGGCGGCAGCUCGCUGAUCCCACCCGCGAAGCCACGGAGGAACCGGCGGCAGGGAGGCGGCUGUGCCACCCUGGGCCGGGCUACCGGCGCUGCCCCGGACUCCCGGUAGGGGGAGCCGCCGCGGGCACCAGGCCAGCCCGGCUCCAGGCCUCAGGUCGGCCCUGCUGCCAGCAGCCACCCGGAACGCAGAACGUGGGCGGCCUCCUCACCUGCCCUCCAGGUGCGUGCGGCCAGCAGAGAAGGGAACACAGGGCCGAGCCGGCUCCUCGUUCCCGGCUGUUGCAUCGCAAAGAAGCUACGCGAGACCUAAGUGCAUUCUUUAGGUCCAAAUAUAGUUAGGAAAAUUGGUAGGUAAGGAGAUCAUCUCCUUUGCCCAUGCCCCUUAACACCAGUGAUUAAGAACUCCUCUUAAUUCCACAAAUUUUGAGGCUUAUUUUAAAAAUUUUAGAUGAUCUAAUCCCUUCUCACUGUGUUUCCGAGUCGUUUAUUUCCAGGAGUUUCAGAUGGUCCCAGCACAAAAUAGGAGCUCAGAGGAGACCAGCUGGCUUUGCUGCCGGAUCACCGACCACUCCUCUCCCUUUCUGACUCUAUGUGCUCAAUAAAGGUUCCGAAGCUUUCAUUUUAAGAGAUGGCCAAUGUUGAGAGAGCAACCCUAACCCAGGGUCAAGGGGAAAGCAGCUAGGCGGACUGUGACCCCACAGGGCCCCCCCCCCCCCCCCCCCCCACAAAGGGCCCGGCGCAGCAGCACACCUGUGCUGAAGGGCUGGAGACUUCCGGCUCGCUACUCCCACAGAUGAAACAUGCAAGCCCUCCUUCUACAGAAACUCGUCCUUCCAGAGCAAGCCCCAACUCAUGAGAGCUCUCUUAAGGCCGAGUCCUUAAAGUCUCUCC
rnacentral:lncRNA from 1 species